GACGAACGCUGGCGGCGUGCUUAACACAUGCAGGUCGAACGGUAAGGCCCUUCGGGGUACACGAGUGGCGAACGGGUGAGUAACACGUGGGUGAUCUGCCCUGCACUUCGGGAUAAGCCUGGGAAACUGGGUCUAAUACCGGAUAGGACUCCGGACUGCAUGGUCUGGGGUGGAAAGCUUUUGCGGUGUGGGAUGGGCCCGCGGCCUAUCAGCUUGUUGGUGGGGUGAUGGCCUACCAAGGCGACGACGGGUAGCCGGCCUGAGAGGGUGACCGGCCGCACUGGGACUGAGAUACGGCCCAGACUCCUACGGGAGGCAGCAGUGGGGAAUAUUGCACAAUGGGCGCAAGCCUGAUGCAGCGACGCCGCGUGAGGGAUGACGGCCUUCGGGUUGUAAACCUCUUUCAGCAUCGACGAAGCGAAAGUGACGGUAGGUGCAGAAGAAGGACCGGCCAACUACGUGCCAGCAGCCGCGGUAA
rnacentral:rRNA from 1 species